UACAGAGGGUGCGAGCGUUAAUCGGAAUUACUGGGCGUAAAGCGUGCGCAGGCGGUUUGCUAAGACAGGUGUGAAAUCCCCGGGCUUAACCUGGGAACUGCGCUUGUAACUGGCAAGCUAGAGUGUGGCAGAGGGGGGUGGAAUUCCACGUGUAGCAGUGAAAUGCGUAGAGAUGUGGAGGAACACCGAUGGCGAAGGCAGCCCCCUGGGCUAACACUGACGCUCAUGCACGAAAGCGUGGGGAGCAAACAGG
rnacentral:rRNA from 1 species